rnacentral:rRNA from 1 species
UACGUAGGGGGCAAGCGUUGUCCGGAUUUAUUGGGCGUAAAGAGCGUGUAGGCGGCUUCACAGGUCCGCUGUGAAAACUCGAGGCUCAACCUCGAGCUGUCGGUGGAAACCGUGUGGCUAGAGUCCGGAAGAGGAGAGUGGAAUUCCCGGUGUAGCGGUGAAAUGCGCAGAUAUCGGGAAGAACACCCGUGGCGAAGGCGGCUCUCUGGGACGGUACUGGACGCUGAGGAGCGAAAGCGUGGGGAGCGAACAGGG